rnacentral:ncRNA from 2 species
AACUGAAUAUCGGAUCACGGUGCCCGCAAGGGCUUGAUAGGGAAGAGGGGUGCAGUUCCAUUGGGACGAGUCCCCCGCGGACCCGCCGCUGUAAGCGAGGACGAAGGGCAAUUACGUCACUGGUCGAAAGACCGGGAAGGCGCCCGGAGGAUGAAUCGCGAGCCAGAAGACCUGCCAUGAUCUAAGCACUCGG